rnacentral:tRNA from 1 species
GGGGCUGUAGCUCAAUUGGGAGAGCGCUUGAAUGGCAUUCAAGAGGUAGUCGGUUCGAUCCCGAUCAGCUCCA